UACAGAGGGGGCAAGCGUUAUUCGGAAUUAUUGGGCGUAAAGGGCGCGUAGGCGGUCCUUCAAGUCUCUCGUGAAAUCCCUCGGCUUAACUGAGGACGUGCGGGAGAUACUGCUGGGCUUGAGUCCGGAAGAGGGAAGCGGAAUUUCCGGUGUAGCGGUGAAAUGCGUAGAUAUCGGAAGGAACACCAGUGGCGAAAGCGGCUUCCUGGUCCAGCACCGACGUUCAGGCACGGAAAGCGUGGGGAGCAAACAGG
rnacentral:rRNA from 1 species